rnacentral:rRNA from 1 species
CACGCCGUAAACGGUGGGUACUAGGUGUGGGUUUCCUUCCUUGGGAUCCGUGCCGUAGCUAACGCAUUAAGUACCCCGCCUGGGGAGUACGGCCGCAAGGCUAAAACUCAAAGGAAUUGACGGGGGCCCGCACAAGCGGCGGAGCAUGUGGAUUAAUUCGAUGCAACGCGAAGAACCUUACCUGGGUUUGACAUGCACAGGACGCUGGUAGAGAUAUCAGUUCCCUUGUGGCCUGUGUGCAGGUGG